rnacentral:rRNA from 1 species
GGGGAAUAUUGGACAAUGGGCGAAAGCCUGAUCCAGCCAUGCCGCGUGAGUGAUGAAGGCCUUAGGGUUGUAAAGCUCUUUUACCAGGGACGAUGAUGACGGUACCUGGAGAAUAAGCUCCGGCUAACUUCGUGCCAGCAGCCGCGGUAAUACGAAGGGAGCAAGCGUUGUUCGGAAUUACUGGGCGUAAAGCGCGCGUAGGCGGCCAUACAAGUCAGGGGUGAAAGCCCAGAGCUUAACUCUGGAAUUGCCUUUGAAACUGUAUGGCUGGAGUACUGGAGGGGAUGGCGGAAUUUCUAAUGUAGCGGUGAAAUGCGUAGAUAUUAGAAGGAACACCGGCGGCGAAGGCGGCCAUCUGGACAGUUACUGACGCUGAGGCGCGAAAGCGUGGGGAUCAAAC